GGAGGAAAAGAAACUAACAAGGAUUCCCCUAGUAACUGCGAGUGAAGCGGGAAGAGCUCAAAUUUAAAAUCUGGCGUGCCUCCGGUCGUCCGAAUUGUAGUCUGGAGAAGCGUCUUCCGUGUUGGACCGUGUAUAAGUCUCUUGGAACAGGGCGUCAUAGAGGGUGAGAAUCCCGUCUUUGACACGGACUACCAAUGCUUUGUGAUGCGCUUUCAAAGAGUCGAGUUGUUUGGGAAUGCAGCUCAAAACGGGUGGUAAAUUCCAUCUAAAGCUAAAUAUAGGCGAGAGACCGAUAGCGAACAAGUACCGUGAGGGAAAGAUGAAAAGCACUUUGGAAAGAGAGUUAAACAGUACGUGAAAUUGCUGAAAGGGAAACGCUUGAAGUCAGUCGUGUCUGCCAGGACUCAGCCUUGCUUCUGCUUGGUGCACUUUCUGGUCGGAUGGGCCAACAUCAAUUUUGACCGUUGGAGAAAGGCUUGGGGAAUGUGGCACUUUCGGGUGUGUUAUAGCCCUUUGUCGUAUACGGCGGUUGGGAUUGAGGACCGCAGCAUGCCUUUAUGGCCGGGGUUCGCCCACGUACGUGCUUAGGAUGUUGGCAUAAUGGCUUUAAGCGACCCGUCUUG
rnacentral:rRNA from 1 species